AUGCUCAUUUCGGCAAACACAUAUACUAAAAUUGGAAUACAGAGAUUAGCAUGGCUCCUGCACAAGGAUGAUACGCAAAUUCAGGAAGCAUUCCAUAUUAAA
rnacentral:snRNA from 1 species